UUGACAAGUAAGAGCAGGGGGGCACCAAGAGAUGUGUGGUUGGAGGUGCACAAAUUGAGGACAAAUUGUGGCUUGGGUGGGGGCAGAAAGAAAGAGCGUGAGGAGGGGUGUGAAAGUGGAAGACAAGGGAACGGAGGCUGAGGAGCAGUGGGGAGGAUGGAAGGAGCCCAGAGGAGGAUACUUGGCUGACUUUCAGGUCGACGAAGAUAUCCAAAAUAAUUUUCUCACAACACGGAGGAGACAGAGCCGAGGCCGAAGGCUGCAGCUCGACAACAGGUGCCCCUUAUUGCCUAAUCACUGUCACUGCAAUGAAUUACAGGUCCGGCCAGACCACCUGCCCUGAAAAUGUCAGUUCCACCUGGCUGCACCAUCAGCAUGGAUGGAUCACUCCAAGCUGUCUGCAGUCAUGCCCAAGAAGGAGAAUGGGUUUCCACCACAGCAAAAACCUGAUGACCUCAAUUACCUGCUCACCUGUGCUAUUUCACCUGGUCCCCUCAAGCCAAUCAAAAGACAUUUCUCUUAUGAUAUUGUGAUCGCUACCAUCACACAUGAUAUUCAAUGGCCUUAGCAUGAUUGGACAAGAUUUAAUGGUGUAUCUGGGACAAGAUAUCGGCAUGUAGAGGAGAAGACUGACACCAGGUUCAGAUGGUGAACUGCUCCACAGUGUUGGAGCGUUGUAAGCAUUUAGGAGAGUGGACAAAAAGAAGAAAUGCAGAAGUGGAGUCCAAAGUUGUGUUGAAAAUUUUGAAAUCUCACAGAUAACAGCCAUGAUAGAUCCAGUGUCUUACUACACCAUACUCUGUAUGCUUGCACUUUGAUUCAGGAAGUAGGUAGCAACAAAUUUCAUGUUUAAAACCAACCACCUUCUAAUCUCCUUAAAAGAUUAUGCCCCUGGAGUAUUUAAAGCACCACUUGCUGGGCUUGUUACUAGCUUUGUGACUUCUUGGAAUCACAUACACACAUCCCAAAAAGGAAUCAAGCAUUUUGAUAGUUGGGAUCUUAAACCUUAGAUACUUCCAUACUGAGAUUAUUACUCACACUUGAUAUCGACCAUCGCUCACAUCAGAUAAAUGCUUUUAAUCUACUAAUAAACAAUUAUUUAAAAAACUUCUUUGAUUGAUGGAUGGAAUUUCUGUUUGCAUGAUCAUAAUUUGAACAAUGUAAUUGGUGAUUUUGUUGCCAGACACUUAAUGUGAUAAUUUUUUAAUACAUACUGAUUGAUUUGAGAUUGCUUUCCAAAUUGAUAGAACUUAGUGACAUGUUCAUUAAUUUUUUAAUUUACAUUUUUAAUUGAUUGGAAAGCAUUUAUUCUUUUGUCAAAUUUUAAGCAUUUUCAUUAUUUUUGUAUUUUUGAUUUUGGGCUCUGAUACUUUUCAUUCAGCAUAUGAUUGAAUACUAUUUAGUUCACUCAUGACUGAUUGCCAAUUGCUGUGGUGUGUCUCUUCUCGUGCAGAUGACACAAAGCUCGAAAAGUAGCCUUACUGAGCUUGAAUCUACCUUCUACAUCUUAAAAAGGUGGAUUUGUACUAAUUCAAUACCCUUACUGUUUGAUCUCCCCUUCACCUGCGUCACUCCAUUAAGAACCAUUAAGAUCUAUGAUCUUAACCUCUCAGCCGAUACAUAAAAUAUAUGCAGGUCAAAUAAAAUAAUUUACUGACUUCAAUAUUUAUUCUUCCUGCUGUCGUGAUACAAAAAACAUAUGUUCAUAAUUCUACCUUAAAAAUAAUACAAUCAGUGGCAUCAACACAGUAAUUUUAGUAAAUGGACUGGACUGCAUUUAUAUAGCCUUAACGGCCACUCAAAGCACAUACAUACAGAGUUUCUCUAUCACAGACACUCACUCAUACACUGACGGUACAUCUGGGGAAGUUUGGGGUCCAGUAUCUUACCCAAGGACAAAUGGACUGGAAGAGCCUGGGACCCAGCAACAGGAGAUAGAGUGUAAAAAACACUAAAUGAUUUCGCAGGUUAUCAGCCUGAUUGUGUAUGCAACACAAGCUAGACACAAAACCCACACAUAAACAUACAAUUCUAACCCAUCUGUUACCACAACCUGGCAACCCACAACCUGAUUCAAGUGGUGUGUGCAGCUUCAAAACAUAUAUAGGAAUUAAUUAACUGUUAAAUUUACAAGCUUAAUAAAAUUUGUUAAUUUCAUUUUCAUGUAAUGUUUAUCAAAUAAAUGACAAAUCAAAAUUGAUUUGAUGAAUUUUGUUAUGUAUUUAUUAUGUGUGUAUGUUAUGAAUAUCAUUUAUGUAUUUGCUUUAAAUUAGAAUAAAUUAACAACCUUAAUGUUGGCAGGUAAUUUAUGAUUAAUAAAUAAGAUUUCAUUCCUAA